rnacentral:ncRNA from 1 species
UGGUUGAUAGGCAGGAGAAGCCAGGAGAUCAUAACUGAAGGCAAAGGGGACAUAUUCAGCUCACCAUGCUCCAAGAAUCUCUCUCACUGUGUACAAUUCUUUGCACUUAAUGGCAAAAUGAUACACAUUCAUUAUCAUUCAUUGCCACCCAUGAAAGGUACUUUAAAAUUCAACAUUUGUCUAGAAGGCCAGCGGUGGGGGUUGACGCGAUAUGAUUUCUGUCCAGUGCUCUGAAUGUCAAAGUGACGAAAUUCAAUGAAGCGCAGGUAAAUGGCAGGAGUAACUAUGACUCUCUUAAGUUAGCCAAAUGCCUUGUCAUCUAAUUAGUGAUGCGCAUGAAUGGAUGAACGAGAUUCCUACUGUCCCUACCUACUAUCCAGCAAAACCACAGCCAAGGGAAUGGGCUUGG